UUAUUCCCUAACCAGCCCAAAAGCUCCACAGAGUUAACACCAAUCACAGUAAAGAUAAGAAAUGGACCGCAGAGAACCUACUUUUACUGGCUCUUACAUAUGAAGAGCACCAAAAAUAGAGUGAUGUCCAACUAACGGGAAGCUUCCUGAGAACAGUUCUCUGAGGUACAUUCGCUCUGUCACUACCGCCUAGUAUAGUGCUCAACACAAACAAGGUACUCAGAUGCUUAAUGAAGAAAAUAAAUCAUCAGGUUGCCAAAUGGAAUGCCAUCUCUAAUACGUGAGUUAUAAAACGGUAUCAGAAGCAGAUGGAGGACAGGCCAUCUAAAGAAGAUUACAGUAUGAUCUCCCUUCCACUUUAAAUUGUUUCACCUUCAAAAGGACAUUUCUGUUAAAGUGUCUCAGCAGAAUACUUGUAACUGUGUAAGUAUCUAAAAAUAUUACACAUUGGAAUGCAAUCUCCUAAACAGAUAUACUUCAAGAACUUGGGAACAGUAUUUCAAAAUUUCUUCAUUAAGGUGACUUUGAAUACAAUAUGGAGGAGACCAAGACGUUCCUUAAAUCUCAUCUUAAAAAAACUAAAUAAAAUGUAAUUCAUAUUAGAUACAGUAUGACCUAAUGGGCUGUGAUACAUGGUAGAGGGUUGAACAAAAAAGAAUGCUGGUGAGUGAGGUGCUUGCUGUCUUUGAAAACAAUA